GGAUUGAACGCUGGCGGCAUGCCUAACACAUGCAAGUCGAACGGGACCUUCGGGUCUAGUGGCGCACGGGUGCGUAACGCGUGGGGAUCUGCCCUUAGGUACGGAAUAACUCAGGGAAACUUGAGCUAAUACCGUAUAAUGACUUCGGUCCAAAGAUUUAUCG
rnacentral:rRNA from 1 species